rnacentral:rRNA from 1 species
UAGGGAAUAUUGGACAAUGGGGGCAACCCUGAUCCAGCCAUGCCGCGUGAGUGAAGAAGGCCCUCGGGUUGUAAAGCUCUUUUGUCCGGAAAGAAAAGCAUUCGGUGAAUACCCGGAUGUUCUGACGGUACCGGAAGAAUAAGCACCGGCUAACUUCGUGCCAGCAGCCGCGGUAAUAUGAAGGGUGCAAGCGUUACUCGGAAUUACUGGGCGUAAAGCGUGCGUAGGUGGUUGUUUAAGUCUGAUGUGAAAGCCCUGGGCUCAACCUGGGAAUGGCAUUGGAAACUGGGCAGCUAGAGUGCGGUAGAGNGUAGUGGAAUUCCCGGUGUAGCAGUGAAAUGCGUAGAGAUCGGGAGGAACAUCUGUGGCGAAGGCGACUGCCUGGACCAGCACUGACACUGAGGCACGAAAGCGUGGGGAGCAAACA